UCGCUUAAAGCAAGGGAGAAAUGUUCUCAAGUUUAGGCUCGAGUAAAGGUGUUACUGUUCUUUACUGAACAGAGGUAAAAAUCUUUUACAACCUUCACUCCUUUCCCUCUUCUCCACUCCUCAACUCGUCCUAGAAUGCCAGUAUCAGGGAGAAAGAAAGAGAAAAUUCUGCAAAUCAUUAUAUUCUUCUUUUCAAGUGAGCCCCUGAUUUCAAAAUUCUCUAACACAUUUGUGGAAACUUCAUUUUUUUUUUUAUUUGAGAUUUAUUUGAAUGAGCUGUUAUGAUUGGAGACAGUGAGAAUUUCAGAUUAAUGUUUUGCAGCCAAAAAAAAAAAAAAACCCUCUCUGGAAAGCUGGCGAGUGUUCAUAAGUCAGCCCUAGAAUUAUGUAGGUUGAAGGCUCCCAGUGGACAGACCGAACAUAUAAGAAGGAAACCAGAGAUCUGGUGCUAUUACGUCCCCGAGUCUAAGGGAACAAAAAAGCACAGAAUUCAAAGCAUUCUUCAGCCUGAAUUUUUAAGGGGUGCACUUAGGAACUAGGCAAGCUGAUUUAUGAUAACUAAAUUUUAAACUCCAACAACCAGAGGCAUAAGAAUUA
ensembl:lncRNA